rnacentral:rRNA from 1 species
GACGAAGGGGGCCAGCGUUGUUCGGAAUUACUGGGCGUAAAGCACAUGUAGGCGGAUUGUUAAGUCAGGGGUGAAAGCCCGAGGCUCAACCUCGGAAUUGCCUUUGAUACUGGCAACCUUGAGUGCGGGAGAGGUGAGUGGAAUUCCCAGUGUAGAGGUGAAAUUCGUAGAUAUUGGGAAGAACACCAGUGGCGAAGGCGGCUCACUGGCCCGUAACUGACGCUGAGAUGCGAAAGCGUGGGGAGCAAACAGG